rnacentral:rRNA from 1 species
AUUGAACGCUGGCGGCAUGCUUUACACAUGCAAGUCGAACGGUAACAGGCCGCAAGGUGCUGACGAGUGGCGAACGGGUGAGUAAUGCAUCGGAACGUGCCCAGUCGUGGGGGAUAACGCAGCGAAAGCUGUGCUAAUACCGCAUACGAUCUAUGGAUGAAAGCGGGGGACCGUAAGGCCUCGCGCGAUUGGAUCGGCCGAUGUCCGAUUAGGUAGUUGGUGGGGUAAAGGCCUACCAAGCCGACGAUCUGUAGCUGGUCUGAGAGGACGGCCAGCCACACUGGGACUGAGACACGGCCCAGACUCCUACGGGAGGCAGCAGUGGGGAAUUUUGGACAAUGGGCGCAAGCCUGAUCCAGCAAUGCCGCGUGCAGGAAGAAGGCCUUCGGGUUGUAAACUGCUUUUGUACGGAACGAAACGGCCUGGGUUAAUACCCUGGGCUAAUGACGGUACCGUAAGAAUAAGCACCGGCUAACUACGUGCCAGCCGCCGCUGUAAUAC